GCCGGGCGUGGUGGUGCACGCCUGUAAUCCCAGCUACUCAGGAGGCUGAGGCAGGAGAAUCGCUUGAACCCAGGAGGCAGAGGUUGCAGUGAGCCAAGAUCGUGCACUGCACUCCAGCCUGGGCAACUGGGCGAGACCUUGUCUCAA
rfam:Pan troglodytes isolate Yerkes chimp pedigree #C0471 (Clint) chromosome 9, whole genome shotgun sequence.